rnacentral:rRNA from 1 species
CCUACGGGGGGCUGCAGUGAGGAAUAUUGGUCAAUGGACGAGAGUCUGAACCAGCCAAGUAGCGUGAAGGAUGACUGCCCUAUGGGUUGUAAACUUCUUUUAUAAAGGACUAAAACGAGGCACGUGUGCCUUUUUGCAUGUACUUUAUGAAUAAGGAUGGGCUAACCUCGUGCCAGCAGCCGCGGUAAUACGGAGGAUUCGAGCGUUAUACGGAUUUAUUGGGUUUAACGGGAGCGUAGAUGGGUUGUUAAGUCAGUUGUGAAAGUUUGCGGCUCAACCGUAAAAUUGCAAUUGAGACUGGCAGUCUUGAGUACAGGUGAGGUAGGCGGAAUUCGUGGUGUAGCGGUGAAAUGCUUAGAUAUCACGAAGAACACCGAUUGCGAAGGCAGCUUACUAAACUGUGACUGACAUUGAUGCUCGAAAGUGUGGGGAUCAAACAGGAUUAGAUACCCCAGUAGUC